rnacentral:rRNA from 1 species
ACGAAGGGUGCAAGCGUUAAUCGGAAUUACUGGGCGUAAAGGGCGCGUAGGCGGCCUUCUAAGUCGAACGUGAAAUCCCCGGGCUCAACCCGGGAAUUGCGUCCGAUACUGGGAGGCUUGAAUCCGGGAGAGGGAUGUGGAAUUCCAGGUGUAGCGGUGAAAUGCGUAGAUAUCUGGAGGAACACCGGUGGCGAAGGCGGCAUCCUGGACCGGUAUUGGCGCUGAGGCGCGAAAGCCAGGGGAGCAAACGGGA